GGUCCCGUAGCUCAGUUGGAUAGAGCGGCGGUUUCCUAAACCGCAGGCCACAGGUUCGAUUCCUGUCGGGGCCA
rnacentral:tRNA from 1 species